AGAACGAACGCUGGCGGCGUGGAUAAGACAUGCAAGUCGAACGCGACUUAUCUGGUUAGCAAUAACUAGGUAAGUUGAGUGGCGAAAGGGUGCGUAACACGUGGGGAUUUACCAAGAAGUGGGGAAUAGCUCGACGAAAGUCGAAUUAAUACCGCAUAUGAUCGAAAGAUCAAAGCCGGGGACCGCAAGGCCUGGCGCUUUUUGAGAAGCCCGCGGCCCAUCAGCUAGUUGGCGGGGUAACGGCCCACCAAGGCUAUGACGGGUAGCUGGUCUGAGAGGACGACCAGCCACACUGGAACUGAGACACGGUCCAGACACCUACGGGUGGCAGCAGUCGAGAAUUUUUUCACAAUGGACGAAAGUCUGAUGGAGCGACGCCGCGUGGAGGAUGAAGGUUUUCGGAUUGUAAACUCCUGUCACUGCAGAACAAGGAUACGUCAGUUAACAGCCGACGUAUUUGAUGGUAUGCGGAGAGGAAGGGACGGCUAACUCUGUGCCAGCA
rnacentral:rRNA from 1 species